rnacentral:rRNA from 1 species
AGCGAACGCUGGCGGCAGGCUUAACACAUGCAAGUCGAGCGGGCCUUUCGGGGUCAGCGGCGGACGGGUGAGUAACGCGUGGGAACGUGCCCUCUGGUUCGGAAUAACUCAGGGAAACUUGAGCUAAUACCGGAUACGCCCUUUUGGGGAAAGGCUUGCUGCCGGAGGAUCGGCCCGCGUCUGAUUAGCUAGGUGGUGAGGUAACGGCUCACCAAGGCGACGAUCAGUAGCUGGUCUGAGAGGAUGAUCAGCCACACUGGGACUGAGACACGGCCCAGACUCCUACGGGAGGCAGCAGUGGGGAAUAUUGGACAAUGGGCGCAAGCCUGAUCCAGCCAUGCCGCGUGAGUGAUGAAGGCCUUAGGGUUGUAAAGCUCUUUUAUCCGGGACGAUAAUGACGGUACCGGAGGAAUAAGCCCCGGCUAACUUCGUG